rnacentral:rRNA from 1 species
AGCGAAGCAAGACCGCGAGGUGGAGCAAAUCGCUAAAAGCCGUCCCAUUCGGAUCGCAGGCUGCAACUCGCCUGCGUCAAGUUGGAAUUGCUAGUAAUCGCGGAUCAGCAUGCCGCGGUGAAUACGUUCCCGGGCCUUGUACACACCGCCCGUCACACCAUGAGAGUCGGGAACACCCGAAGUCCGUAGUCUAACCGCAAGGAGGGCGCGGCCGAAGGUGGGUUCGAUAAUUGGGGUGAAGUCGUAACAAGGUAAC